rnacentral:rRNA from 1 species
AUUCUCAAAGAUUAAGCCAUGCAUGUCUAAGUAUAAAUAGUAUACAGUGAAACUGCGAAUGGCUCAUUAAAACAGUUAUAGUUUAUUUGAUAAUUGACAAUUACAUGGAUAACCGUGGUAAUUCUAGAGCUAAUACAUGCUUAAACGCCCGACUUUAUGGAAGGGUGGUAUUUAUUAGACUGAAGCCAAUAUUCCUUGUGUCUAUUGCGGUGAUUCAUAAUAACUGAUCGAAUCUCUUUUUGAGAUAAAUCAUUCAAGUUUCUGCCCUAUCAGCUUUCGAUGGUAGUGUAUUGGACUACCAUGGCAGUAACGGGUAACGAAGAAUUAGGGUUCGAUUUCGGAGAGGGAGCAUGAGAAACGGCUACCACAUCUAAGGAAGGCAGCAGGCGCGUAAAUUACCCAAUCCUGACUCAGGGAGGUAGUGACAAGAAAUAGCAAACCGGGAACCUCAUGGUUUCACGGUAUUGCAAUGAGAACAAUUUAAAACCCUUAGCGAGAAUCAAGUGGAGGACAAGUCUGGUGCCAGCACCCGCGGUAAUUCCAGCUCCACUAGCGUAUAUUAAAGUUGUUGCAGUUAAAAAGCUCGUAGUUGAACCUCUGUCUGGGGCUAGUUUUGGCUUUGGUCAGGCUAGUUCUAGGCAUCCGCCUACAAGACUUAGAGGGCAUUCAGUUGUUCACUAGGAGGAGUAGGCAUUUUACUUUGAAAAAAUUAGAGUGUUUAAGGCAGGCAAUCGCCCGCAUAUAUUAGCAUGGAAUAAUAGAAUAGGACACUUUUCCAUUUCGUUGGUUAUUGGAAUCGUGUAAUGAUUAAUAGGGACAGUUGUGGGCAUUUGUAUUUAAUUGUCAGAGGUGAAAUUCUUGGAUUUAUUAAAGACAAACUAACGCGAAAGCAUUUGCCAAGGAUGUUUUCAUUAAUCAAGAACGAAAGUUAGGGGAUCAAAGACGAUCAGAUACCGUCCUAGUCUUAACUAUAAACUAUUCCGACUCAAUGUUUGACUGGCUUAUAUAACCAGUUGAGCGUUGUAUGAGAAAUCAAAGUCUUUAGGUUCUGGGGGGAGUGUGGUUGCAAAGCUGAAACUUAAAGGAAUUGACGGAAGAGCACAACCAGGAGUGGAUUCUGCGGCUUAAUUUGACUCAACACGGGGAAACUUACCAGGUUAAAACAUUAGUGGGAUUGACAGUUUGAGAGCGCUUUCUUGAUUGGUUGGGUGGUGGUGCAUGGCCGUUCUUAGUUGGUGGAGUGAUUUGUCUGCUUAAUUGCGUUAACGAACGAGACCUUAACCUGCUUACUAGACUGGCGAUCAUCAAUCGUUAGCUCUUCUUAGAGGGACUUUGGUUGUUUUAACUCCAAGGAAGUUUG